CUGAAGGUCUGUAGUUCGAUCCUGCAUGGGGGCAACCCGUUUUAGGUAGAAAUGUGAAAUUAUUUUGCCAACGGAGAGGCUAGAUUAGGAUUUUUCUUCCGUUAGCUCUAUAUUAUUCCCGCUGCCAUGGAGAUGCGAAGAGGCUUAUUGCUUUCGAUAAACAUUGCAUUCUUCAAUGGGAUUUCGAAACCACGGGGCGCGCCAACGAAAGCGUAAAUCAAACAUCAAUCCAAUGCUUAUUUGCAGUUUUCCUUAUAGAUAUAUAUACAAGGGCAACGCCAGGUGCAGCAGGAGUAGAGCGGUGAAAAAUGUCUUCAACGAUUUCAAGAAGAGGUUUGACAGUGAAGUCACGGUCAUCAGGAGCAUUAGUGGCUUCGAUU